rnacentral:rRNA from 1 species
UACGUAGGGUGCAAGCGUUGUCCGGAAUUAUUGGGCGUAAAGAGCUCGUAGGCGGUUUGUCGCGUCUGCUGUGAAAACGCGGAGCUCAACCUCGCGCCUGCAGUGGGUACGGGCAGACGUAGAGUGCGGUAGGGGAGAUUGGAAUUCCUGGUGUAGCGGUGAAAUGCGCAGAUAUCAGGAGGAAUACCAGCGGCGAAGGCGGCGCUCUGGGCCGGUACUGACGCUGAGGAGCGAAAGCGUGGGAGC